rnacentral:lncRNA from 1 species
UGGCCUUCUCUCCUACUUCAUCACCCGGAUACAGCCCAUCAUCACCAGGCUACAGUCCGUCAUCUCCUGGAUACAGUCCCACGUCACCUGGAUACAGCCCAACUUCGCCUGGAUACAGUCCCACCUCGCCUGGAUAUAGCCCUACCUCACCAACUUAUAGUCCAAGUUCUCCUGGUUAUAGUCCAACCAGUCCUGCCUAUUCUCCUACCAGUCCAUCGUACUCACCUACUUCACCAAGCUAUAGCCCAACCUCCCCAAGUUACAGCCCAACAUCCCCAAGCUACAGCCCGACCUCUCCAAGUUACAGCCCCACUUCUCCCAGUUACAGUCCAACUUCACCAAGCUAUAGCCCCACCUCACCGGCAUAUAGCCCCACCUCACCUGCAUAUAGCCCCACCUCACCUGCAUACAGCCCCACUUCACCAUCGUACAGCCCAACCUCUCCUUCCUACAGCCCAACAUCACCUUCGUACAGCCCUACCUCACCGUCAUACAGCCCCACUUCUCCAUCGUACAGCCCCACUUCACCAGCCUAUAGCCCCACUUCUCCUGGUUAUAGUCCAACUUCACCAAGUUAUAGCCCAACUUCACCAACCUAUAGUCCUACAUCCCCAAGCUACAAUCCUCAGUCUGCCAAAUACAGUCCGUCGCUGGCCUACUCACCAAGUAGUCCAAGAUUAUCUCCUGCCAGUCCGUACAGCCCUACAUCUCCAAAUUACAGGUAAGCCAUAGUGCGAUAUGUGGUCAAGUCUAAUGUUUGUGUUAAAAGCUGUAUCCAAUUUAUUAGGUCUUGUUUUUGAUAGAAUUCUAUAUACUGAAAUAUCUGUUGAACCUAAGACUUGCUGUAGCUGGGGAUUGGACUUGGAUGGGUUUAAAUUAUUAAUGAUUUUAUCUCUGUUGUUUUUAACAUUAUUAUAUCUGGAUGAUUAUGUUGAUGUAUCUUGUAAGCAACUUUUCUUUUUACGCAGUCCAACAUCAUCUUCGUAUUCACCGACAUCUCCCUCUAUGAUACUGGACCAAUGAUGAGAUGUUCAUUUGAAGAAACGGUUGACAUUCUUCUUGAUGCUGCAGUCUUUGCAGAAUCAGAUUAUUUGAGGGGGGUCACUGAGAAUAUAAUGUUAGGUCAGCUUGCGCCUAUUGGGACAGGAGACUGUUCAUUGUAUCUCAAUGAUGAGAUGCUGAAAAAUGCCAUCGAACUUCAGCUUCCUAGUUAUAUGGAAGGUCUGGAGUUUGGCAUGACACCUGCUCGUUCUCCGGUGUCUGGGACUCCUUAUCAUGAUGGCAUGAUGUCUCCAGGUUACUUGUUUAGCCCAAAUCUCCGUCUGUCCCCGGUCACGGAUGCCCAGUUUUCUCCUUAUGUUGGUGGAAUGGCCUUCUCUCCUACUUCAUCACCCGGAUACAGCCCAUCAUCACCAGGCUACAGUCCGUCAUCUCCUGGAUACAGUCCCACGUCACCUGGAUACAGCCCAACUUCGCCUGGAUACAGUCCCACCUCGCCUGGAUAUAGCCCUACCUCACCAACUUAUAGUCCAAGUUCUCCUGGUUAUAGUCCAACCAGUCCUGCCUAUUCUCCUACCAGUCCAUCGUACUCACCUACUUCACCAAGCUAUAGCCCAACCUCCCCAAGUUACAGCCCAACAUCCCCAAGCUACAGCCCGAC